UCUGACCCAGAGAGGAGCGAGCACGAGGCUGCGCUAACAACGUGUCAGCUCCCCGUCGAGUGGUCGCGCACGCGCAGACGCGGCUGGAGGGCCGUGCGCGCGCUUCCCCGCGAGGCACGCCGGUCCUCGGGAAGGAGAUCGAUAGCUGUUAGGAAGCGGCCGCGAGGUUGUGUUUCUCCUCCCUCUAAUGCACGCAGCUCGCGAAUUGUUUCAGUAAAAGCACACAGCCAUUGCUUUUAUGUGCUCAACGGCUAUUACUGUAACAACUAAAUAUUACCAGCAGCACAUUCGCCAUGCCUCCGGCUCCAAGAGGCUAUAUUUGUUUGGCUAGUUUAAGUGAUGACGAGAACGACUAUUUUUAGCUUUUUCAACAGCAAUAACCGUGAAAGAAUUGAAGAACGCCAUUAUUUCCCAGCUCUGUAUUGGAGGCAAUGACUCAACUACAACAUAUUACUUGUCCCUGUGAAUUCACAUGACUUCUUUUUAUUUUUUUAUACCGAUUUACAGGGAGGGACUCUCAAAAUAGCAACCAAGUGGAACGGACUGUCUUGGAGCCAUGUGCCUGUAACACAUGUUGAAUGGAUGCUUUAUUAAGACAGGUCAUGUUGUUUCAAUAAACGCAUGACAAAUUGCAUCCGAGGCGAGAGAACAUUGUGAUAUUGCUCAUUUUCAUGAACGAGAGAUCCGCUGUAAAACUGUCGGCAGCCAACUUUUCUUUAUUGCCGUUAUAUUGCUGUGACCUAUUCAGAGGCUUGACCUGUGUUUUAUUUGGGUGAGUGGAGAACAUGCACUCCUAAUGCCCACAUAUUUGACGCAUGCAUGGUGUUUUUUUUUUUUGCAGCAGCAGCGACUGGAUUCUGUUUGGACCGGACCGUGUUCCAGCUCAUCACGCUAGGGGGCCCGAAAGCUGUGCAGGAAAAAAAAAAAAAAGAAAGAGAAAAGGCCCUGUGGUUUGUGCCACCACGUCACAAAUGUGUGAUGCUCGGCAUGAUGUAGAGUGGUUUUUAUCUGCCGUAAGCUGGUUUCCUCCCACAUUCGGAAGAAGCACUCGACUUCGAAAAGAAAAUACACAAAACCAGACGCAGGAGUUGAGGACUCAGAGCCAGUCUCACUAGCGUCCGUACGUGCACACGGGGGUGUUUGUGCAGUCACACAGGUCACCGCCGGCUCGACCCCUCUAAUGGACUGUGAUGAUCUCUGACCCGUCUGCUCAUCACAGCCUUCACUGACUCGGCUCAAGAGUCGGCUUGCGCCUCGUCACAACAGCCCCCAAAGAAAAGCGAGGACCGGCCGUGGGUCUGUCAGCACGUCAGGCCUCUGCCCUGCAGCCGCCGGGCCUGGUGGGAGGAGGAAGCGGGUGUGAUGUUUGCCGAUUAUCUGACUGACAGGAAAGCCCUUUGUCUCAGGGCUUAGCAGACAGAGAAGAAGAUGACGCAAGCGCCGGAGGACAGAAAGGCCCAUUCCACCGGUACUGGGUGCAACUUCUCCUGGCUUCCUGCAGCUCCCAGCCAAAGAAACGCGGA